rnacentral:rRNA from 1 species
GAUGAACGCUGGCGGCGUGCCUAACACAUGCAAGUCGAGCGUGAUUCUAACAAAUGGAGACUUCGGUCAAAGUGAGUUAGAUGAAAGCGGCGGACGGGUGAGUAACGCGUGGGCAACCUGCCCCAUACACGGGAAUAGCCACUGGAAACGGUGAUUAAUGCCCGAUAAGACCACACUCCCACAUGGGAGAGCGGCCAAAGAUUUAUCGGUAUGGGAUGGGCCCGCGUCUGAUUAGCUAGUUGGUGAGGUAACGGCUCACCAAGGCGACGAUCAGUAACCGACCUGAGAGGGCGGACGGUCACACUGGAACUGAGACACGGUCCAGACUCCUACGGGAGGCUG